rnacentral:ncRNA from 1 species
UUAUUUUUGUCACCGGACAGAAAUAAUUAAAAUGCUUUUUUCUUUUGCCUAGGUCAUAGGAGCGAAAGAGAGAGGCAUUUUUUGUUG